rnacentral:lncRNA from 1 species
UUAUUAAAAUGCAAGUUUUGGAGUCUAUCACUCGUUAAAGUUGUAAAACCGAAACUUUUCCACAGCAAAAAGCCACUGGCAGCAAACCCAACAUCUUCCAAACCCGAAAUCUGAAAACACGGCCUGAAUCAUGGGUAUAACAAAUUGAAAAGCAUAAUAACUAGUUCCGACUCCAAAAGCAUAAUAACUUUUUCUUUUCCUUUCCUUUCCUUUCCUUUCCUCCAUUUUCUCCGCAAACAAACACGAUAUAGUAGACUCAGGCAUGCACUUCAACAGAACCAAAAACAGCACACGAAAUGCAGAAAACUAAUAAAAAGUUACAUCAGAAUAGAUCAAAUGGACAGUACCAUGCACUGUGAUUCCCAGAUCUACUACCAACAAAAUCUCAAAACUCAAAACCCAUAAAACAAAAAAAUAAAAUAAAAAAUAAAAAAAUA